UACGUAGGGCGCAAGCGUUAUCCGGAAUUAUUGGGCGUAAAGAGCUCGUAGGCGGUUUGUCGCGUCUGCCGUGAAAGUCCGGGGCUCAACUCCGGAUCUGCGGUGGGUACGGGCAGACUAGAGUGAUGUAGGGGAGACUGGAAUUCCUGGUGUAGCGGUGAAAUGCGCAGAUAUCAGGAGGAACACCGGUGGCGAAGGCGGGGUCCUGGGCCAGUACUGACGCUGAGGAGCGAAAGCGUGGGGAGCAAACAGG
rnacentral:rRNA from 1 species